rnacentral:rRNA from 1 species
AUCAACGCUGGCGGCGCGCUUAACACAUGCAAGUCGCACGAGAAAGGGGAGCAAUCCCUGGAGUACAGUGGCGUACGGGUGAGUAACACGUGGAUAAUCUACCUCCUAGUGGGGAAUAACUCUGGGAAACCGGAGCUAAUACCGCAUAAGCUCGGGAGAGGAAAGCAGCAAUGCGCAUGGAGAGGAGUCCCGCGGCCGAUUAGCUAGUUGGCAGGGUAAAAGCCUACCAAGGCAAAGAUCGGUAGCCGGCCUGAGAGGGCACACGGCCACACUGGCACUGAAACACGGGCCAGACUCCUACGGGAGGCAGCAGUGGGGAAUCUUGCACAAUGGGGGAAACCCUGAUGCAGCGACGCCGCGUGAGCGAUGAAGCCCUUCGGGGUGUAAAGCUCUUUCGGCAGGGAAGAUGAUGACGGUACCUGCAGAAGCAGCUGCGGCUAACUACGUGCCAGCAGCCGCGGUAAUACGUAGGCAGCAAGCGUUGUUCGGAGUUACUGGGCGUAAAGGGUGUGUAGGCGGUUGUUAAGUUUGGUGUGAAAUCUCCCGGCUCAACUGGGAGGGUGCGCCGAAUACUGAGUGACUCGAGUGCGGGAGAGGAGAAGUGGAAUUCCUGGUGUAGCGGUGAAAUGCGUAGAUAUCAGGGAGGAACAUCGGUGGCUGUAGACGGCUCACUGGACCGUACAACUGACGCUGAGGACACGAAAGCGUAGGGUAGCAAACAGGAUUAGAUACCCUGGUAGUCCUACGCCCUAAACGAUGGAUGCUUGGUGUAGCGGGUACCUCAGUGAUCCGCUGUGCCGGCAGUUAACGCGUUAAUCAUGCCGCCUGGGGAGUACAGGUCGCAAGGCUGAAACUCAAAGGAAUUGACGGGGGCCCGCACAAGCGGUGGAGCAUGUGGUUCAAUUCGACGCAACGCGAAGAACCUUACCUGGGCUCGAAGCGCAUGGUACCGGGGUGGAAACAUCCUGUUACCCGCAAGGGACCCCUGCGGAGGUGCUGCAUGGCUGUCGUCAGCUCGUGUCGUGAGAUGUUGGGUUAAGUCCCGCAACGAGCGCAACCCUUAGUCGCUAGUUGCCAUGCCGGUCAAGCCGGGCCCUCGAGCGAGACCGCCCCGGAUAAGCUGGAGGAAGGUGGGGAUGACGUCAAGUCCUCAUGGCCUUUAUGUCCAGGGCUACACACGUGCUACAAUGGAUCGGUACAAACCGUCGCAGGAAUCCGCGAGGAUGAGCUAAUCGCAAAAAACCGUCCUCAGUUCGGAUUGAGGCUGCAACUCCGACUGCCAUGAAGCUGGAAUCGCUAGUAAUCGGCAGAUCAGCACGCUGCGGUGAAUACGUUCCCGGGCCUUGUACACACCGCCCGUCACAUCACGAAAGUGGACUGUACUAGAAGUCGGUGAGCCGACCGCAAGGGAGGCAGCCGGCCCAAGGUAUGAUUCAUGAUUGGGGUG